AUAACAAGCUUUUCCCUCUCUCGACACAAAAUUCUAUCAAAUGUUCGGUAGACAAAGGCAGCCACUGGAAAAAUGCCUUUAGUUUGGUGUUGGAAAUUUUCCUUUUUACCACUCAGUAGAAAGACAGAAAAGCUGGGAACGAGGAGCUAAGAGGGGGCCAAAAAGAAUUGGCCCCGGCUGUCAGUUCUCGGUUCGCUUUUAUAGUAACAGCUGCAACUGACGGGCAUGAAAAGUGGUUUUUGGAGCGCGCAAAUACUAGAAAAUGUUGGCAACGCCUUGGCCACGGACUGCUGGAAAUGUAGAGGGAAAAUGCAGUGGCGAGUGGAAAUAUUUUCACAGUUUUGCUAUAAAUUAAAGCAAUGACGCCAACGCCGACAUCGUCUUUCACAUGUGACUGGCUCUCUCGUUCUGGACGCUAAAGUUCAUACCGAAAUUUAUUAUUAUUUUAUUAUCCGAGGAAGUCCUUUGGGGAGAAUAAAAAACUGAGCUGCAUGUGUAACUGAAAUGUACCCAAAAAAGUUUCUGCUGUGCUAGUCCAUGACAGAACCAUCAUUAUCUUGGCCAUAAUAAAUCGCUUGACAUCAGCAUGCCGCAAACGUAUUUCCGUGGGGAUGUCCCGGACCUGACCGGCAGUUAGAUAGAUGGCAGCGAUGUGAUGGACCAGCGCUAUUCUGGAGUGGAAGCGGUCGAAACAAAGGCUCGACUUGACCAAGUAGCUUUGGCGAGAUAUCGAAACGGGACAAGAGGCAAACAACAGGCCAGAAAACGAACAAAAAUAAAGAGAAUAGGAAAUAGACCCAAAAAGCAGA